rnacentral:rRNA from 1 species
UACGUAGGGUGCAAGCGUUAUCCGGAAUUAUUGGGCGUAAAGAGCUCGUAGGCGGUUUGUCGCGUCGGGAGUGAAAACAUCUGGCUUAACUGGGUGCUUGCUUUCGAUACGGGCAGACUUGAGGCAUGCAGGGGGAGAACGGAAUUCCUGGUGUAGCGGUGAAAUGCGCAGAUAUCAGGAGGAACACCGGUGGCGAAGGCGGUUCUCUGGGCAUGUUCUGACGCUGAGGAGCGAAAGUGUGGGGAGCGAACAGG